GAUGAACGCUGACAGAAUGCUUAACACAUCAGCAAUUGAUUGGUGGCGGACGGGUGAGUAACGAGUACAGAACUUGCCUCACAGCUAGGGACAACAUUUGGAAACGAAUGCUAAUACCUAAUACUGUGAGAGAGUUUUGCGUCCCAUUAGCUAGUUGGAGAGGUAACGGCUCCCCAAGGAGAGGAUGGGUAGCCAGCCUGGGAGGGUGAUCGGCCACAGGGGGCCUGGGACGCGGCCCUUAGGCCAACGGGAGGCAUGAGUGAGGAAUAGUGGAAGAUGGACCAAAGUCUGAUCAAGCAAUUCUGUGUGCAAGAUGAAGUUUUCGGAAUGUAAAGUGCUUUCAGUUGGGAAGCGGUACCAACAGAAGAAGUGACGGCUAAAUACGUGCCAGCAGCCGCGGUAAUAC
rnacentral:rRNA from 1 species